ACUCAACAAGAUUAAAUUCAAAAGGGUAAGUUUCAGCUAGGAAAGCGGGCCGUCUCAGAGCGGAUACUUGAUCAGCUGGUUAGCCCUAAACCUGUAUUUAGGAGUUU
rnacentral:sRNA from 1 species